rnacentral:rRNA from 1 species
UACGUAGGGUGCAAGCGUUUGUCCGGAAUUAUUGGGCGUAAAGAGCUCGUAGGCGGUUUGUCGCGUCUGUUGUGAAAACCCGAGGCUCAACCUCGGGCCUGCAGUGGGUACGGGCAGACUAGAGUGCGGUAGGGGAGAUUGGAAUUCCUGGUGUAGCGGUGGAAUGCGCAGAUAUCAGGAGGAACACCAGCGGCGAAGGCGGCGCUCUGGGCCGGUACUGACACUGAGGAGCGAAAGCGUGGGGAGUCAAACAGG